rnacentral:rRNA from 1 species
CGCGGCCUAUCAGCUUGUUGGUGGGGUAAUGGCCUACCAAGGCGACGACGGGUAGCCGGCCUGAGAGGGUGACCGGCCACACUGGGACUGAGACACGGCCCAGACUCCUACGGGAGGCAGCAGUGGGGAAUAUUGCACAAUGGGCGAAAGCCUGAUGCAGCGACGCCGCGUGAGGGAUGACGGCCUUCGGGUUGUAAACCUCUUUCAGCAGGGAAGAAGCGAAAGUGACGGUACCUGCAGAAGAAGCGCCGGCUAACUACGUGCCAGCAGCCGCGGUAAUACGUAGGGCGCGAGCGUUGUCCGGAAUUAUUGGGCGUAAAGAGCUCGUAGGCGGCUUGUCACGUCGGUUGUGAAAGCCCGGGGCUUAACCCCGGGUCUGCAGUCGAUGCGGGCAGGCUAGAGUUCGGUAGGGGAGAUCGGAAUUCCUGGUGUAGCGGUGAAAUGCGCAGAUAUCAGGAGGAACACCGGUGGCGAAGGCGGAUCUCUGGGCCGAUACUGACGCUGAGGAGCGAAAGCGUGGGGAGCGAACAGGAUUAGAUACCCUGGUAGUCCACGCCGUAAACGGUGGGCACUAGGUGUGGGCGACAUUCCACGUCGUCCGUGCCGCAGCUAACGUAUUAAGUGCCCCGCCUGGGGAGUACGG